GUGGGAGCGGGAGCGGGUAAGGAACAUGGCCAACCGUUGACUAUGCAACGGCAGUGUUUGUGCCGUUCCCAUUUUCCAGUCGCUUUGCGUUGUUUGUUUUGUAAAACAGGCACGCUCAGCCGAGCUGCAGCUCCUCUCGCUGCUCUUCGUCGCCAGGCAGCAACAGCAACAACAACAACAACAGAAUUAACCUGCAUGCAGCACCCGCCCCCGUUGAAAGCAUUGCAUAAAGCACACGAAACACAUACGCAGAAGCGAGCGCGAGAGCGAAGGAGAGAGCGCGAGCAGUCGUUACAAACAUUGUUGUUGUCUGUUAGUAUGUUGCAAUGGGCUCUCUCUCUCUCUCUCUGGUCUAUUUGCGCUCACGCGCAGCUUAAACUGUUCCCAAAAGAUGUGAGCGGAUAGGAACAGUUAAUCAUAUAAAACAUUUAUAAAUAUUGAGCCCAAUUAAACGAGCAAAUAAUUUUUA